AGUGAACGCUGGCGGUAGGCCUAACACAUGCAAGUCGAACGGCAGCACAGUAAGAGCUUGCUCUUACGGGUGGCGAGUGGCGGACGGGUGAGGAAUACAUCGGAAUCUACUUUUUCGUGGGGGAUAACGUAGGGAAACUUACGCUAAUACCGCAUACGACCUACGGGUGAAAGCAGGGGAGCUUCGGACCUUGCGCGAUUGAAUGAGCCGAUGUCGGAUUAGCUAGUUGGCGGGGUAAAGGCCCACCAAGGCGACGAUCCGUAGCUGGUCUGAGAGGAUGAUCAGCCACGCUGGAACUGAGACACGGUCCAGACUCCUACGGGAGGCAGCAGUGGGGAAUAUUGGACAAUGGGCGCAAGCCUGAUCCAGCCAUACCGCGUGGGUGAAGAAGGCCUUCGGGUUGUAAAGCCCUUUUGUUGGGAAAGAAAAGCAGCAGGUUAAUACCCCGCUGUUCUGACGGUACCCAAAGAAUAAGCACCGGCUAACUUCGUG
rnacentral:rRNA from 1 species